GAAGUGCCUGGGCGCCUGGGCCUGUCUCGCGUGUGCUUUGGGUCCUGGGUCCUCGCACAGGCCGCUUACAUGUGCAGAAUAUCGCGUGCGCGCCUGGGUGUCCCAGCGAGCGCCUUCCACGCGUUAUGUCCCCUCGUGCCCACAGCCACCGUAUGGGGCUCGACCUCCAGCUCCAGGCCACCAGCCACAUGUGGCCACUCAACACCUGAACCCUGGGAGUCUGAACUGAGAUGUGCUUUCGUGUAAAAUACUCAUGCGGUUUCAUGGACUCACGAAGUUUAAAGAAUAGUAAACAUUAUUACCAUCCCAAGUUCACGGCUUGGAAAAGGAGGCUCAAAGAGUUGACCAGCUGCCACAAAGCCUAUAAGUGAAGGCAUCUAGCUUCCUCUACAAAGAGAGAAAGCCCAGGGCUUGGCUCGACCUUCUCACCACCGCUACCCCCAGCUUCCGCUCCCUGGGCUCUUCAUGACCAUCUAGAGCCUUCCAGAACCUCUCCAGAGAACAGCUGUGCUCCAGAGAACCUGGACCAUACCAAAUUCUCUGAGCAAACUCUGCUUCCCAUGGCCAAGGCUGUUCACAGGACUGGAGUGAAUUUCCCCUAUUCAGCCCACCCCACAUUCCCUGAGUGGCUAAGAGCACAGGCCCUGGAUGGAUGGAUGGAGUGGGUGCAUAUCCUGACUCUGCCACUUAUUAGCUGUGUGACCUAGGGCGAGUUGCUGGACCUCUCUGUGCCUCUAUUGCCUCAUCUGUAAAGCGGAAUAAUAACAGUACCUGCUUCCUGGGGUUGUUUCGAGAGCUGAGUGAAUUAAUAUGGGAAAGCACCUGGAAGACCCCCUGACCCACAGUAAGUGUUACAGCAAAUCUUAGCUGUUGCAGUUGGCAUCACUGUUUCCAUCCCUCCUUGCAGGGAGCUCUUCUCCAUAAAUCAGGGCUCAACGCCAAUGUCACUCUCUCCACGAUGUGCCCUCCUCUGUGCCUCGUAAUACAGUGCACACACUUCCAUGUUACAAUCCUGGCCCUAGUCCACGAGGCUGUGCACAGCAAGGAAAGGUGUUGUGGGAAUGACGAGCUGCAGAACUCCUAAGCGGGGAGCUGAGGCCCCAUUUGGAUGUUCUUCCCCACCCCCAAACCCUGAGGGUCUGCAGGUCAAUGGGCGUCCCUGCACCAUGCGGGGCAGUGCUGAGCACAGACACCCUGAGGGCAGGGCACCGACUGGACCAGCCCCUGCAGGAGGCGUGAAACCCGAGAGAGCCUUUCCCCCACCACUUUCCAACUGUCUGGCUCCCUCGCCACCUGCUUUCUGAAUGCAGGCUUUCUUCACACAAAAAUCUGAGUCGCCAGAGACUUUUGGUGAGGCCAGCCAUGCUGAUGGCCAUGGGGCCAAGCUGGGCACAGAAAGGGUGCUGGUCAUUUUCUCGGAAGCUCCAGAGCCCAGGGUUUGCUCUGUUUCACUUUCAAGGCAGACAGAGAUUACGGAAAAGACUGACGUCAGUAUUCGCCUCUCCGAGGUGAGGAAGCCAGCAAGUCCUGCAGAGCCUAAUAAUUCUGUCUUCUGCUGAAAGUGUGCAGGGCAGAGGCGAACAGCAAGCAGGCAUUGGGCAUCCAGCCAGGCUGCUGCGGUCCUGUUCCCUCCGUCACCGCCCUCUGCUCUCCGGGGGCUCCCUGGCUCACCCGUGCCCCAUCCCAAAUGCCAGGCUUUUCACCUGUAACACAAGACUCCCCGCCCACAGCGUGCCCCCCACCACGCGGUCUGCAGAGCUUUCUCUAGAAUACUCUUCGCAGAGGGGCAAGCAGCCACCUACCACCAAACUUGUAAAAUCUGCCAGGGAAGAUGCGCUUGAAAUAUGCAGUGCCUUUUUAAACUGUAACAUCAUAUUGAGGUACAUUUUGAGAGUGUUUAUUGGACCUUCGAGCACUGAAGUUCUGGAAACAUACAGUCCCAGGGACCUUCUCACUCGUGCGGCCAGGAGUCUUCAGAGGAACCCCCAAAUUGUUUUCCUGUUCACAGUUCCCUCCUUUGUUUGCCAACUAAGUCCCAGACAUACUUGAUUUGACUGUGAAGAAACACUACUUGUUUAUCAUCAGUUAUUAUCUAUGCCUAGUUGUCAUGUGGUACAAAAACAGUAAUAGGCAUCAUUUCAAAUACGGGGCGGAUUAAUUUUGUUAAAUUUAUUGUUUGAUUAUACCAAAUUUUGUUGAACACCCGUAGUCUGAUGCUUUUGUAACUUGCUGCCAAUAUUCUCUUGUUUUUCUUAACUAGAAGAAGUAUUUGUUAGGUCUCUUCUUUUAUCAGCAAAGCCAGUUUACCACUGGGCACUGUAAGCAUAGCCCUUGCUAGUUUUCAGGACCUAAGAAGAUGGGGGGUGGAGGUGACAACUACAAAAUAUGAAAAGAAACCUGCAAUAGUUAAAUUAAUAAAUGUUUAAUUAAAUCAAACAUAUCGC